rnacentral:rRNA from 1 species
AACCCAGUGCAAUUCGUUGCACUAUCGUUAACUGAAUACAUAGGUUAACGAGGCGAACCGGGGGAACUGAAACAUCUAAGUACCCCGAGGAAAAGAAAUCAACCGAGAUUCCCCCAGUAGCGGCGAGCGAACGGGGAGCAGCCCGGAGUCUGAAUCAGCUUGUGUGUUAGUGGAAGCGUCUGGAAAGUCGCAGGGUACAGGGUGAUACUCCCGUACACUAAAACACACAGGCUGUGAACUCGAAGAGUAGGGCGGGACACGUGGUAUCCUGUCUGAAUAUGGGGGGACCAUCCUCCAAGGCUAAAUACUCCUGACUGACCGAUAGUGAACCAGUACCGUGAGGGAAAGGCGAAAAGAACCCCGGCGAGGGGAGUGAAAAAGAACCUGAAACCGUGU